rnacentral:lncRNA from 1 species
CUCACCCGUGUGAUAAUCCCUCCACAAAUAACAAAAAUAACAAUCCCCUAACUAAUUUUGUCUUAUCCUAGCAGCUUACCCAAACAAAAAUAGACAUCUAACCCUUAUCCCUCCAAUUAAAAAACAACACCUACCUACCCUAUCCUAACAACCCAUCCAAUCAAAAACCACAUCACACCCUACCCCCUACCCCACGUGACCCCACCUACCUCACCACUACCCCACCCUCAUCACAUAUAUCACACACUCUCAUAUAUUCACUGAUAUAUUCACCAACACACAGAUACCCACCGACAAAAAACUCACCUCACGCCAUUUUCUUAGGCUUCUUCUUCUUCUCACACAGAGCACACACUCACAUACCGUCACUGACUAUCACACAUGCACAAUGAAUUCACGCACAAAAUCUCACGCCACACACUGAUAGGAAUCCGAAAACACAGUGGACAAAGGCGAACACCCACACGUCACAGUCACCCUCCCCGACGCUUCACCGGAAUUUGAUUUCCUCGGAAAAGAAGACACGCUCUGAGAUCGGAAUAUGGAGAAAGUGAGAUAAUCGAGCAAGAAAAUCAUAGAAAAUCGAAGAAGAUAUUGAGUAGCGAAGAAAUCUGAGAGGAAUGGAGAGAUGGUGAGAAGCAAGUAAAAAUCGAGAGAGAGAGAGAUCGGAGACCGGCGAGUCUUCGCCUGAAGCUCACAGGAAAGGGCUCUUCCGCCGCCAGAAUUGGCAAAACCAGCCUCCAAACAACUGAAAUAGACCUGUUAUGGGCUGAUUCCGACCAGCUCCACCAGAAAAUUGAUAUGUCGCCCAUCACCGAACAACCACAGCUGCAACCCAUCGAAAAUCAUUCGACAUCCUACGACCCAACUUCACCGUUGUUGUUGUCUCUGUUUCGACAGCAGAAAUACACCAGAAAAGGUAAUAUUCCCACCGAUUGAGUUUUGAGUGACGACAGUCGUGGAUUCUGUUCGAGAACUUCGAUUUGGGCUUGGGUUAGUCGUUGUCUUUGAUUUGGGUUGGUCAGUUCGUGAUUGAGGUUCAAAUUGAGAGUUUUUGGAUCCGACUUUGUCUUUUGAUCACAUAUUUUGGCACUCUACACUUUCUCUCAUCUAUUUUAUUAUUUGUGAUGUUUCGUAUUUCGAAUUGGAUAUUCGUGUGUGUGGUUUGAUCUUCGUUGGUGAGAUGAUUUCGUUGGUCACGAUUGUGUGUGAUGUCAAUGAUGAAUAUUGAGUUUACAGUGAUUGUGGAUUGUUGAAAUAGUAAUCGUGAUUGUUGAAAUUUUGUGUUAAAAUAAAAUUGGGGGUGGGAAUUAAAAAUUGCUAAAAUGAAUGUUGAUUAAUUUUGAUGUAUGAAUAAUGUUAAACACGAUGGAAUUGUGAUAUGUUGAACUUGAUAGGCAAAUGUAGGUCGGGUAGUCAAAUUUAGAAAUAACAAUUUAUUGGAAUAUUUGAAUAUGUGCGUGAAUGGUUCGUUUUACUUUAUCAAACGAAAAGCUUCAAUUGUAUAUUUUGGUCGGGGAAUGCCUUAAAGUAUCUGUAUAUAUUUAUUCACCGGGGAAUGCCCCGAGGUAUCAUGUACCCGGAGGACAUUUGUGGUGAAGGCCUGAGGUGUCGGGUAGAGCAUUAGUUUAGGAUUAGCGUAGGUUUACUUUUAGUCCCUUUUUAUUUCGGGUUGUAAUAAUUGGACUGGACUUUACAUUUUAGAUUAUUUUGUUUUGUUUGAUUAUUUUGCGUGCUUCUUGUGCGGUUUAUACAUUUCUUAGUGCCAAAAAAAAUAGUCGAUACACUCUACCAAGCGACCGUGGUUGAACCACGGGAUCGAGAGGUGCCUAACACCUUCCCCUCGGUCAACAGAAUUCCUUAUCCGGAAUCUCUGUUCGCAAACCAGUUUAAAGAGUCAAAUGGUUUUGAAAAGAAUUUUCUAAUGGUGACUUGGCACACCAGAUUAUGUCAAGUGGCGACUCUGAGUAAAAAAUGUAAAUAAUCUUUUUCCGAAAUAAAUUUUCAUUUCUUGUCACUUAAAUAAUAAAAUCCUUUCGAACUAAAAAAUAUAAAUCUUUCGGGAGUCAAAAAAGGGGUGUGACAAUCCUAAGGUAGAUUCAAUCAACAUUUUUCAAAUAAAAGUCAACCAUUUAGGUUGAUUAUAGUUGAUCAAGACAAAUUAAGAUACAAUUCAAUCCUAAUAUUGAUUGGUACGCGCAAGCUGAUCCGGACACCAUGGUUUAAAAAAAUAAAAAAAAAAUCAAACAUUUAUGUUGAUUAUAAUCGUGAUAAAUUAAAACUCAAUUUAAUCGUAAUAUAGAUUGAAUCAAUAUUUUUCAAUUAGAAGUCAAACAUUUACGUUGAUUAUAGUGGUGACAAAUUGAAACUUAAUUUAAUUUUACUACUAAUAAUAAAGAGCAAUAAGUAGGCACGUCUCAACAUGCCUGCUUCAACUGCUUAAAUCAUAAUCUUACUAUAUCAUUCUCAAUUAAUUAUAUAAGUUAUUUAAGUAUUAAAAAAAUAAUUAUAUUUAAUGAAAAGGUAAAAUAAAAAUAAAAUAAUAAAUUAACUCUUGAUGUUUUGUGUUACCAUCUUCAGCUGCUUCAAUCGUAAUUUUAUUUAUCACUCUAAUUAAUUAUUAUAAGCCAUCUAAGUAUUAAAAAAAUUAAUAAGUUAAUAAAAAGGAUAAAUUAGAUAUAAAAUGAUAAAUUAAUUUUUAAAGUUUUAAAUUAAUUUGAUGUCUUAUAUGAGACUCAUUUAAAUUUUUUUCACAAAUAUUUUUUAUAGUAAUUUUGUCAUAUCACUUCUAAUUAGUUGUUAUAAGUUAUUUAAGACAUGUCUACUUCAUUGUUUCAAUCAUGAUUUUAUUAUAUCACCCUUAAUUAAUUUUUAUGGUCAUCUAGGCAUUAAAAAUUAAUAAUCUUUCAUAAAAAAGGUACACUCAAAAUGAUACAUCAAUGUAAAUUAUUUGGUUGACUAUAAUUAUAUUAGUGCCACAAAAAUUACAAUAGAACAGAAGAAAACAUGAAGUAACAUAUAUUAUAUAAAAAUGAGAAGACACGUAAAUUGGGACGAUGAGACUAUUGAUAUCUUAUUGAAAAAUUAUGUUAAAAGCACUAUAAAUCACAUAAAAAAUAUAAAAUAUUUUAUUGACUCUCGAACUUAUAUCCGGGUCACUUAAAUUGAAAUGGAAGAAAAAUAUUAUAAAUCACAAUAAUUAAAAAUUUAAAUUAUUUUAACGUUUGAUUAUCUAAAUUAUAUUUGUGUCACGUAAAUUGAGAUAAAAAAUAAUAAUAUUGUAUCUGUGCUAGCACGGGUCCUUCGAUGUCUAGUCUAAUAUAAAUUGCAUCAAUAUUUUUUAAAUAGAAGUCAAACAUUUAUGUUAACUUUAGUCAUGACAAAUUGCGGCUCAAUUUAAAUAUAGUUUUACUAUAUUACCCCUAAUUAAUUAUAAAAGUCAUUUAAAUACUAAAACUAAUAGUAUUUAAUAGAAAAAUAAAAUAGAAAUAAAAUGAUAAAUUAACUCAUGAUAUUUAAAUUAACUUGACGUCUUAGAUGAGAUCCACUUAUUUUUUUUCACAAGUAUCUUUUAUGAUAAUUUUACUAUAUUAUUUCUAAUUAGUGAUUAUAAGUCAUUUAAGACAUGUUUGUUUCGCUGCUUCAAUCGUUAUUUUACUAUAUCACCCCUAAGUAAUUAUUAUGAUUGUUUAAGCAUUAAAAUAUUUAAAAUAAUUCUAAAAAAAAGAUACAAUAGACACAAAUGACAUAUCAACAUAAAAAUUUAAUUGACUGUCGAAAUUAUAUUAGUGCACAUAAAUUGGGAUGAAAUGGAGGAAGACAUAAGAAGAGCCAACUUUAACAUGACUGCUUCUUGAAAUUUAAUGAAAAGUUGAGGGCAUUUUAGUCUUCUUACAAGAAAAAAAUGCUUAAAAAAUUUGUUUUUGUGCUAUGUUAGUUGAAUCUUAUUAAUAAGGCAAAAUGACCUUCUGGACCCUAUACUAUGUUAGUUUUGUAAAUUGGACACUUUUACUUACAUUUUUGUCAUCUGAACCCCAAAACCCACUAAAAGGCUAUAUUUUAAACCCUUUGACCGUUGACUUUGCCUAUGUGGCAUUAAAAUGCUGACUAGGACGAGGAGAGUGAUUACACUCACUUGGGGUGCGAGUGGGGGUUAAUUUUUUAUCAAUUUUAUAUAAAAAUAAUUAAAAAAUAAAAAAUGAUUAAUUUUUUUUUAGUUUUUUAAUUUAAAAAUAUUUUAAAAUUUUUUAAAAAUAAUAAAUUUUAAAAUAAAAAAUAAACCCCCACCCCCUUCCCAGUCCAACCACUCCCCUACCCCGUCCCAGCCCCUCCACCCCACCCAGCUUUUUUCAGCUUUUUAAAUUUAAAUUUUUUAAAAAAAGUUUUUAAAAUAAUAUUUUUUUAAAAUUCAAUAUUUUUUCAUCUUUUAAAAUUUAAAAAUAUUUUUAAAAACUAAAAAAUAUAUUUUAAAAUAAAUAAAAAAAGGUCCUCCCCCACCCCCAACCCUGUCCAUCACCCCACCCCCUCCACCAGUCNNNNNNNNNNNNNNNNNNNNNNNNNNNNNNNNNNNNNNNNNNNNNNNNNNNNNNNNNNNNNNNNNNNNNNNNNNNNNNNNNNNNNNNNNNNNNNNNNNNNNNNNNNNNNNNNNNNNNNNNNNNNNNNNNNNNUGUCACGCCCCAAAAUCCCAUCGGGCCGGACUGGCACCCGAAGCCGAGAAGGCCCGGGAGAACCCGUUUAAAUACCUGUACUUUCACUUUCAUGUCACCAAAAAUUUGGCCAGCACUUCGUUGCAUAUAGAAGGGUCUAAUUACCUGUAUCAGCACAACACGCACAAAUAUAUAUAUAUAAUACUUGGCCGUCGGGGCCACCACAUAUAAAAAUAUAACAUCACUAUAUGAACUUCCAUGACUUUACCCUUCCUUAUGUCUACAAAGCCUCUAGGAUAUACAUGACAUAACUAGGGUCGGGACAAACCCCCGCCCACACAUGACUCCUGUACAAUAACAAAACAUAAGGGACCGACUCGGCAAGCUCCGAAGCAA